rnacentral:rRNA from 1 species
UACGGGGGGGGCAAGCGUUGUUCGGAAUUACUGGGCGUAAAGGGCUCGUAGGCGGCCAACUAAGUCAGACGUGAAAUCCCUCGGCUUAACCGGGGAACUGCGUCUGAUACUGGAUGGCUUGAGUUUGGGAGAGGGAUGCGGAAUUCCAGGUGUAGCGGUGAAAUGCGUAGAUAUCUGCAGGAACACCCGUGGCGAAAGCGGCGCGCUGGACCACUACUGACGCUGAGUGAACGAAAGCUAGGGGAGCAAACAGG